rnacentral:rRNA from 1 species
UACAGAGGUCUCAAGCGUUGUUCGGAUUCAUUGGGCGUAAAGGGUGCGUAGGUGGCGCCGUAAGUCAGGUGUGAAAUUUCGGAGCUUAACUCCGAAACUGCAUUUGAUACUGCGGUGCUUGAGGACUGGAGAGGAGACUGGAAUUUACGGUGUAGCAGUGAAAUGCGUAGAGAUCGUAAGGAAGACCAGUGGCGAAGGCGGGUCUCGUGGACAGUUCCUGACGCUGAGGCACGAAGGUCAGGGGAGCAAACGGG